AUUACAGCGCGUGAUUCCAUCCGUUCAACUUCCAUCAGCUGGGGCAUGUAAGAAGGGUUGGGGGCAGGCGAGGGACGGAGUUGAAGGCUGGUGGGGAAUCUCAGGAAAAUUCUCCGCCUGACUUACAAACAGCUGGUUACAUUUUACUCCUUUUCUAUGCCUUUGGGGGUGUUGGAAUUUGACUUUGUGCCUCCUGAAUUGGCCUCCUUGUAAUAUGCCUUGGAACAUUGGAGGUGCGUUAAACUGCUUUUCAAUUGGAGUAGGAUUUAGCAGCCAUGUCUUCCCGAGAAAUCUUUGAAAUGGUCGUUCAGAAACUUAUGCAGGUCGAAUAUUUCAGGCGAGGCAACACUCUGUUAGCAAUGCGGAGAUAGUUGCGGUACAUGUGUGAAACAACGGAUCUCACGCUAUUACUGCUUAUUUUAGGCAUCUGCUGUGCAAUUAUGAUAAGGUAUCAGGCCUGAUUAUAGUCAUGUCUUCUGAGGCCUGAUUACAGCAAACAACUUUCAUGGGUUGUGUCAUCCUGAGGUCAUCUGGUAUCUGAGAUCUGUCAUAUAUUUAAAUGUAUGUUUAAAUACAUGUUUGCACAAUGUGUUACUUUUUAAGGUCUGUGCUGCUUUUAGUUUAGACUAGGGUUACAUAAUAUACAAGUGGUAACACUUUUAAUAGCCCUGGUUUUGUCCUGUAGAGAUUGCAUGCUAAAUAUCUUUAUGAAAAAACAUGUGGGGGUCUGUGUGUGUCCUUUUCUGAUUGAUGCCACUGGGUUCCUUUUCCAUUUGGAAUUUCAAAAUGACUCUCUUCUUUAUAUAUUCAAGAUUAAAUGAGCACUGGAAAAAAUAGGGCCUUCAGCAAGGCUGAUAGUUCUGUGGAAGACAGAAUCAUUUUUUGUUCUCUAGGCCAACUGUUGGAUUUUUUUUUAAACGAAUCAUAUUUUUCUUAAACAUUCGUGGGAGCAGUUUGCAUUUUUCCUGAGUCUCAUUUCAGGCUGAAAUUGUUCCAGAAGACUACACAGCCUGCGUCUCUCUGCCUCCCCCCCUCCCAUUUUUAGCUUGGGAUAACCAAGAAAGUCAUAAUUACAGGCCUCUGUGUGUUACCUGUACUGUUUUUAACUUGAAGCUGUUUGAGAACUUACCAUGCCUUUGUAUACGCUACCAUUUAAUAAUGAAUGGUUAGCAGAAGACAGCUGAGAUUUUCAUUAAAUGCCCUUCGCAUUUUUGACAUCCAAGCUUUGUUAAAAGUAACAUCAACAAAUUAUUGCUGAGAGUUACAAAUAAUGCAAUAUUAGUGCUAGUCGGAGACUCCCUAAUUAUAAAAAUACCAAGAAAAUAAAUAUUAAAAUAGGCAAGAGGACCCUUUGGAACUUUUGAUGUCACUUACUGUGUUAUAUACUGCCUAGUUCUAGGUGGGUAUUUUUUAAGGAAUAUUUUUGCAAAUUGGGUAUAAGAUUUUUUAGCGUUGGUGAUAAUUUUCUUUAACAAGGUGAGUCAUUUGGUAAGUGGCUACACUUGUAUCAGAACUCCACCUCAGGUAGGUGUAGUUGACUUUCAAGGGAUGCGCUGAUAUUUAUUUCAGGAGGAAUGAACACCUGAGCAUUAGAUAAAACAAAUGGGUUGCUUGAAGAUAUCAUUAAAUUUUUCCUAAACAUUCAUACAGGGAAAAACUGUGCUGGUUUGUUUUGCCUCUUGGUUCUUUCCUUCCAGAAACAGUGUUCACACUUAUGAAUAUCAUAAGAGCAGAGAAGCCUAUGAGGUCUCUCUACUGACAUGGCACUAGUAUUAAAUUAAAGGUUUGAUUUUUUUUUUUUUUUUUUUUUUUUUUUCCCCAAGCUGCAAUGAUUUCCCUAGUCUUCCUGUUGUUUGUAUGUGACCACUGGGGGGAGACUUUACAAUUUAGGUUGACAGCCCUGUAUUGCUCUCCCCCCGCCCCCCAUACAUGGCUGCUAAUCAUCCCUGGGCACUUUGCCAAACUGCUGGAAGUGUGUUGAGGAGGAUGCACUCAGAAUCAAGUCUUGAUCAAGGCGUCUAAAUGACUUUUAUGUCUUUAACUCACAGCACACUCACAAACACCACUCUUUAUGGAUUGUGUUAUUCGCCGUCUACUUUCUGGUCUACAGCUCUGUGGGCUAACUAAAUAUCUAACAUAGUGAAAAAUGAGAUUCAUAAAUAAAUUAGAGCUUUCAAAGAUCUUACUCUACUGAUAUUAAUCUUAGAAGCCAUGCAGGUUUCCGUUACGUGCUUUGUGUACAUAAAUAUUAGUGGUCUGGAAAGAUCUAGAGAGAACACUGCUCUUCUGCAACGUGUACUGUAUUCAGACCUCUUUAAGCUGAUUGAUUAGUCUCCUAUUUUAAAAAGCUUUCAGAGAAAGAGAUACUGGUACAAGCAUCCCUUGUACCUAAUUUCGCCACCGAGGGGAAGUUCUUCCUUAUUGUAAUAAAAGAGAUAAGAUUAGAACUGGCAGCUUUGUUGAUCGUUAAGCUGUAUCUAUUCUCAGGAGGUACAGUAAAGUCAGAAAUAAGUUUAGUUUCUAAUUUUCUCUUCUGACAGUAUUUGACAUUGUUAAUGUCCAGUUCAGUAACAGUGAACUCAGCGAACAAAGGAUGUUAGGUUUACAGUAGCCUGGAAAGAUCUUAAAUUCUUCUUUAACAACUUCAUACAGUUUUGAUUAUAGUAGAUUCAUUCACAGUAUAUAGUAAGCAGGAUAGAAUUUGAAGUCAUUUAUAUCAUCCUGUCAUCCCAGAUUCUUCUUGUAUAAGAUGGCUUUGCAUUUUUUUUCUUAAAAAAAAUUAUAAUCUACCAGAAGAGUUCUCUUCUGCUUAGGAAAUGUUCAUUCCUGGCUAACCUCAACAUUGUGUUAAUACUUGGGGAAUAGUUUCUAAGAGUCUGUUAAAGUUUCGACUGAUGCAAAGUGAGAAUUAAAGACAAUGUAGUGAGUUUACCAUAAAGCUCAAGUUAUUCUCAAAUCCUUUCCACUGCCUUCUAGUUCCUGUGUAUGAUCUGAUUUCUACUCAGUCUACCAUUUUACACCUUUUCCUCUUAAAUCAAUUACUCCUUUACCACUUCUUUAGCAUUCUCUCUUGUCACUAUACUCCAUCUACACUGUCCUUCCCCCCCGUCCCCCCCAAAGUGUCAUGGCUUACUCCUGACCUAGGACUGUUCUCUCUGCCCAGAAUUCUCUUCCUAAAACCUGGCUCCUUUUCAUCAUUUCAGGUUUCAAUUCAGUUAUCUUCUCAGAGAAGGAUUAUUAUCUAACCACCCUGUCAGUGUGGCACCAUCCUCUUUUCCCUCUAUCCCAUUACCUUAAUUUUUUUUUUUCUGCAAACCAUUUAUCACUAUCUGAAAAUGUAUUUUAUUUUUAUUUAUUUAUUUAGGGCCACACCCACGAUAUAUGGAAGUUCCCAGCUACAGCUCCAAUUCAACCCCUAGCCUGGGAACCUCCAUAUGCUGUGGGCACAGCCCUAAAAGGUGGGGGGAAAAAAAAAGUUUAUUCUCUCACAGUUUUGGAGGCCAGACAUCUGAAAUCAGUAUCAUUGGGCCAAAGUCAGGGUGCUCCCUCCAAAGGCUGCAGAAGAGGGAGUUCCCAUUGUGGCUCAGCAGUUACGAACCCAACUAAGAUGCACGAGGAUUCGGGUUUGAUCCCUGGCCUCAGCUCAGUGGGUUGGAGAUCCAGUGUUGCUGUGAGCCGUGGUGUAGGUCACAGACUUGGCUCAGAUCCCGAGUUGCUGUGGCAUAGGCCAGCAACUACAGCUCUGAUUCGACCCUAGCUUGGGAACUGCCGUGUGCUGCAGGUGCAGACACUGAAAAGAUAAAAUGAAAAGACAAAGGCUCCAGAAGAGACUGUAUCCCUCGCUGCUUCUGUAGUUUCUGAUGGCUGCCAGAAUUCCUUGGUUUCUGGUUGCAUCACUCCAGUCUUCAAGAGCAGAAUUUCAAACCUUCCUCAGUUCUAGUCUUCUCAGCACCUUUUCUUGGGUGUGAAAGAGAGAGAGAAAUCUCUUUUUUGCCUCUCUCUUAUAAGGACACAUAUGAUGGCACUUGAGGGCCCCCCUGUUGAUCCAGGAUAAUCUCCCCAUCACAGAAUCCUUAAUUUAGUCAUAUCUGCAAAGGCCCUUUUUCCAAAUAAUGUAAGCUUCCCAGGUUCUUAGGACUCAUAAGGCUAUAGAUAGCUUCUCAUCUGAUGAUACAGUAAGAGCUAAUGUCACAGUUAUUUCCAAAUUUUUGGAAGUUUUAGAAAAUGUUCUUUUAAUACUGUAAUGACAGAUUACAAAUUAUAAGAUAUUACUAUAAAUAGUUUAUUGCUAUUUUGAGCUUAAUGGUUGAGUUAUUUUUCAUUGGCUUUUCAUUAACUAUAAUAUUUGGAGUUUUGCUUACUAGCAAAAUAUUUACUGUUUCUUGGAGUUCCCGUCAUGGCGAAGCGGAAAUGAAUCCGACUAGGAACCAUGAGGUUGCAGGUUCGAUCCCUGGCCUUGCUCGGUGAGUUAAGGGUAUGUCAUUGCCGAGAGCUGUGGUGUGAGUUGCAGACGCAGCUCAGAUCCUGCAUUGCUGUGGCUGUGGUGUAGGCUGGCAGCUGUAGCUCCUAUUCGACCCCUAGCCUGGGAACCUCCAUAUGCCAUGG
rnacentral:lncRNA from 1 species